CCACCGCGGUUAGACGAGAGGCCCCAGUUGAUAUUAUAACGGCGUAAAGGGUGGUUAAGGAUAAACAAAAAUAAAGCCAAAUGGCCCCUCGGCCGUCAUACGCUUCUAGGUGUCCGAAGCCCUAAUACGAAAGUAGCUUUAAUAAACCACCUGACCCCACGAAAGCUGAGGAACAAACUGGGAUUAGAUACCCCACUAUGCUCAGCCAUAAACCUAGACAUCUAACUACAAUCAGAUGUCCGCCAGGGUACUACGAGCAUUAGCUUAAAACCCAAAGGACCUGACGGUGUCUCAGACCCCCCUAGAGGAGCCUGUUCUAGAACCGAUAACCCCCGUUAAACCUCACCACUCCUAGCCACCCCAGCCUAUAUACCGCCGUCGUCAGCUUACCCUGUGAAGGACAUAAAAGUAAGCAAAAUGGGUACAACCCAGAACGUCAGGUCGAGGUGUAGCGCAUGAAGUGGAAAGAAAUGGGCUACAUUUUCUACCGCAGAAUAUUACGAACAUGCACCAUGAAAUAAUGCUUGAAGGAGGAUUUAGUAGUAAAAGGGAAACAGAGUGUCCCUUUGAACCCGGCUCUGAGACGCGUACACACCGCCCGUCACUCUCCCCUGUCAAAACGCACCAAGAAUACUUAAUACAAAAGCACUGACAAGGGGAGGCAAGUCGUAACACG
rnacentral:rRNA from 1 species